rnacentral:rRNA from 1 species
GAUGAACGCCGGCGGCAUGCCUAAUACAUGCAAGUCGGGCGAACGGACGUGAUGCUUGCGUCUCUGAGGUUAGCGGCGGACGGGUGAGUACCACGUGGAUAACCUACCUAUAAGACUGGGAUAACUUAUGGAAACCGGAGCUAAGACCGGAUAAUGUUAUCAACCGCAGGGUUCAAAAGUGAAAGACGAUCUUGCUGUCACUUAUAGAUGGAUCCGCGCUGCCGUAGCUAGUUGGUAAGGUAACGGAUUACCAAGGCAACGAUGCAUAGACGACCUAAGAGGGUGAUCAGCCGCACGGGAACUGAGACACGGUCCAGACCCCUAAGGGAGGCAGCAGCAGGGAAUCUUCGGCAGUGGGCGGAAGCCUGACGGAGCCACGCCGCGUGAGUGAUGCAGGUCUACGGAUCGUAAAACUCUGUUAUUAGGGAAGAACAUAUGUGUAAGUCACUGUGCACAUCUUGACGGUACCCUAGCAGAAAGCCACGGCUAACUACGUG